AGCUACGAUCACAAAGUCAUGAACACAACGUAUCCCGUCCGCUCUGCGCUACUUAAGCAUAGUAUCGUCUGGCUAUUACUGUCGUGGGUAACCAGAAGGGAAUUCUGGAUAUUGUAGUGU
rnacentral:rRNA from 1 species